CGGGGUGUAGCGCAGCCUGGUAGCGCACUUGCUUCGGGAGCAAGGGGUCCCCGGUUCAAAUCCGGGCACCCCGACCA
rnacentral:tRNA from 1 species